GCGUGUUUGCAAUCAUAAAUGCAGAUGUGAACUUACAAGUCGAGGAGAGGGUCCAGUCGUUCCUCAAAACACAUCCAUUCAAAGGAAUCCAUGCUAGCUCCACGUGAAGGGUCAUCUGAAAGGCAUUCACUGAGGCUGUCGGAUUCCUCAUCGCUGUCAUAGAGCAUCUGAAUCACUUGAGCGCGUGAAUGGAACUUUGUCAUUUUUGAAGCUGCAAGAGUCACAAAGCAAUGCACAUGUUAUAAUAACCGGUCACUGUUGUUAAUAAUGAAUGCCCAUUGAUCACCAAACUCUAGAUUAGUCAUAAUCAGAUCAGUUGUUUAUUUCACCUAACUAAAAACAUUCAUGCAAAAGUGCCAUAUAUGGUUAUAUUCUAGAAAACCUCAGCAAAAAUAACAUGAUAAUAAAAGGAAUGUAGUAAAGUAUUUGUAUAUAAAUCAAAUGUAAACAUACCCGUGCAAAAAUUGCUCAGACUUUUGUUAAAAACACAUACCGGUAUAUUUAAAUAUUUCUGGCCAAUAUUUUGGACCUUGUAAACAUAGGUGUUUAGUCCUCUCCAAAACCAGUGUCCCUACACAAUCAAUUCUGGUGAUAGGUGUAAACACACCUGUGAUUGCCACUGCUUAUGGCCCAUCUGUCAAAAACAAUGGCCCUGGAAUGCCAUUGUGGCUCUCUGACCCCCACAAUCAUCAGUUUCACACCUCAUCAACCAUCAGAACCAAAACAGUGCGAAAAUAUGGCCUCUUUUUUGUUGCCCCCCUAUGCACCCUAGCACGAGCCUCCUUCCCACCAUCGGUUUGUGAACAUGGCUGGCGUAAUUACUUUACAGGAGCAUAAUACACAUGUAUGCGCAGACUACAAACUUCGACGUAUGUAGCCUAAUAAAAUUAACGCACCGCUCUGAGCAUGACAUAUAUAUUUUACUGUAUAAUAGUCUAAGCGACAUAAAGUCAUAUAUGAUUCAAAAUCGCCGUGCAGUUCGUGGUAGUAGCCUAAACUCAGAGCAUAAUGACACGCGUUUUACUCCCUAUAAGUUAAUCAACAUAUGUAUUACACGAGCUAGUCAAACGAAUAUAACUUACUCUUCACAAAUAUCUUUAGCGGGGUCAAGUGGAUACGUUCGUCCUGACUGUCUUCACCACUUUCAUGCAAGGUGUAGUUCUCGUCCUCGUUCUUCAGAGCAGGUUAUAAUUGAAGUUCAACAUGGUCUUGUUUAUACUGGCGAAAGGGGGUGUUUUCGCGGUUUUUCCUUGCUACGUCAUGACCCAAUAGCGAUCGCCGAUUUACCAUGCGCUUAUCACAUGAAUAGACCUAAUUUGUUAAUGGGUUGGCCAUUAGCAGCUGCUGCCUCAGAGAUUUUGGUUUUAUUCUCCUUUCAAAGGGUUAAUUAAUUUUAGUUUCGAGCGGUAUAUAUUUGAAAAGUAAAAUACUCUGGGUUCCUGUGAGUGUUAUUGUGAUGUCUCUAGCACAAAAACUCGCAUUUCCCUACGCCGACUUAUCAAUAUCGGCGCAUAUCAUACCAGGAGGUAACACAGUGUGCCUCUCAGAAGGAAAAUGUGGGGGUAUAAACACUUGAAAGAGACACAGAUUUUCCAGGAUGAAAAACCAUGUUCAUGUAAGUGAAAACAUAUUACCAAGCAUGCACACAUGUAGCAGACCCACUACAGACCCCUG
ensembl:lncRNA